rnacentral:rRNA from 1 species
GGUUAAGCGACUAAGCGUACACGGUGGAUGCCCUGGCAGUCAGAGGCGAUGAAGGACGUGCUAAUCUGCGAUAAGCGUCGGUAAGGUGAUAUGAACCGUUAUAACCGGCGAUUUCCGAAUGGGGAAACCCAGUGUGAUUCGUCACACUAUCAUUAACUGAAUUCAUAGGUUAAUGAGGCGAACCGGGGGAACUGAAACAUCUAAGUACCCCGAGGAAAAGAAAUCAACCGAGAUUCCCCCAGUAGCGGCGAGCGAACGGGGAGCAGCCCAGAGCCUGAAUCAGUGUGUGUGUUAGUGGAAGCGUCUGGAAAGGCGCGCGAUACAGGGUGACAGCCCCGUACACAAAAAUGCACAUGCUGUGAGCUCGAUGAGUAGGGCGGGACACGUGGUAUCCUGUCUGAAUAUGGGGGGACCAUCCUCCAAGGCUAAAUACUCCUGACUGACCGAUAGUGAACCAGUACCGUGAGGGAAAGGCGAAAAGAACCCCGGCGAGGGGAGUGAAAAAGAACCUGAAACCGUGUACGUACAAGCAGUGGGAGCACAGAGCAAUCUGUGUGACUGCGUACCUUUUGUAUAAUGGGUCAGCGACUUAUAUUCUGUAGCAAGGUUAACCGAAUAGGGGAGCCGAAGGGAAACCGAGUCUUAACUGGGCGUUAAGUUGCAGGGUAUAGACCCGAAACCCGGUGAUCUAGCCAUGGGCAGGUUGAAGGUUGGGUAACACUAACUGGAGGACCGAACCGACUAAUGUUGAAAAAUUAGCGGAUGACUUGUGGCUGGGGGUGAAAGGCCAAUCAAACCGGGAGAUAGCUGGUUCUCCCCGAAAGCUAUUUAGGUAGCGCCUCGUGAAUUCAUCUCCGGGGGUAGAGCACUGUUUCGGCAAGGGGGUCAUCCCGACUUACCAACCCGAUGCAAACUGCGAAUACCGGAGAAUGUUAUCACGGGAGACACACGGCGGGUGCUAACGUCCGUCGUGAAGAGGGAAACAACCCAGACCGCCAGCUAAGGUCCCAAAGUCAUGGUUAAGUGGGAAACGAUGUGGGAAGGCCCAGACAGCCAGGAUGUUGGCUUAGAAGCAGCCAUCAUUUAAAGAAAGCGUAAUAGCUCACUGGUCGAGUCGGCCUGCGCGGAAGAUGUAACGGGGCUAAACCAUGCACCGAAGCUGCGGCAGCGACACUGUGUGUUGUCGGGUAGGGGAGCGUUCUGUAAGCCUGCGAAGGUGUGCUGUGAGGCAUGCUGGAGGUAUCAGAAGUGCGAAUGCUGACAUAAGUAACGAUAAAGCGGGUGAAAAGCCCGCUCGCCGGAAGACCAAGGGUUCCUGUCCAACGUUAAUCGGGGCAGGGUGAGUCGACCCCUAAGGCGAGGCCGAAAGGCGUAGUCGAUGGGAAACAGGUUAAUAUUCCUGUACUUGGUGUUACUGCGAAGGGGGGACGGAGAAGGCUAUGUUGGCCGGGCGACGGUUGUCCCGGUUUAAGCGUGUAGGCUGGUUUUCCAGGCAAAUCCGGAAAAUCAAGGCUGAGGCGUGAUGACGAGGCACUACGGUGCUGAAGCAACAAAUGCCCUGCUUCCAGGAAAAGCCUCUAAGCAUCAGGUAACAUCAAAUCGUACCCCAAACCGACACAGGUGGUCAGGUAGAGAAUACCAAGGCGCUUGAGAGAACUCGGGUGAAGGAACUAGGCAAAAUGGUGCCGUAACUUCGGGAGAAGGCACGCUGAUAUGUAGGUGAAGUCCCUCGCGGAUGGAGCUGAAAUCAGUCGAAGAUACCAGCUGGCUGCAACUGUUUAUUAAAAACACAGCACUGUGCAAACACGAAAGUGGACGUAUACGGUGUGACGCCUGCCCGGUGCCGGAAGGUUAAUUGAUGGGGUCAGCGCAAGCGAAGCUCUUGAUCGAAGCCCCGGUAAACGGCGGCCGUAACUAUAACGGUCCUAAGGUAGCGAAAUUCCUUGUCGGGUAAGUUCCGACCUGCACGAAUGGCGUAAUGAUGGCCAGGCUGUCUCCACCCGAGACUCAGUGAAAUUGAACUCGCUGUGAAGAUGCAGUGUACCCGCGGCAAGACGGAAAGACCCCGUGAACCUUUACUAUAGCUUGACACUGAACAUUGAGCCUUGAUGUGUAGGAUAGGUGGGAGGCUUUGAAGUGUGGACGCCAGUCUGCAUGGAGCCGACCUUGAAAUACCACCCUUUAAUGUUUGAUGUUCUAACGUUGACCCGUAAUCCGGGUUGCGGACAGUGUCUGGUGGGUAGUUUGACUGGGGCGGUCUCCUCCUAAAGAGUAACGGAGGAGCACGAAGGUUGGCUAAUCCUGGUCGGACAUCAGGAGGUUAGUGCAAUGGCAUAAGCCAGCUUGACUGCGAGCGUGACGGCGCGAGCAGGUGCGAAAGCAGGUCAUAGUGAUCCGGUGGUUCUGAAUGGAAGGGCCAUCGCUCAACGGAUAAAAGGUACUCCGGGGAUAACAGGCUGAUACCGCCCAAGAGUUCAUAUCGACGGCGGUGUUUGGCACCUCGAUGUCGGCUCAUCACAUCCUGGGGCUGAAGUAGGUCCCAAGGGUAUGGCUGUUCGCCAUUUAAAGUGGUACGCGAGCUGGGUUUAGAACGUCGUGAGACAGUUCGGUCCCUAUCUGCCGUGGGCGCUGGAGAACUGAGGGGGGCUGCUCCUAGUACGAGAGGACCGGAGUGGACGCAUCACUGGUGUUCGGGUUGUCAUGCCAAUGGCACUGCCCGGUAGCUAAAUGCGGAAGAGAUAAGUGCUGAAAGCAUCUAAGCACGAAACUUGCCCCGAGAUGAGUUCUCCCUGACUCCUUGAGAGUCCUGAAGGAACGUUGAAGACGACGACGUUGAUAGGCCGGGUGUGUAAGCGCAGCGAUGCGUUGAGCUAACCGGUACUAAUGAACCGUGAGGCUUAACCUU